rnacentral:rRNA from 1 species
AUUGAACGCUGGCGGCAUGCUUUACACAUGCAAGUCGAACGGUAACAGGUUAAGCUGACGAGGGGCGAACGGGUGAGUAAUGCAUCGGAACGUGCCCGAUCGUGGGGGAUAACGCAGCGAAAGCUGCGCUAAUACCGCAUACGAUCUGAGGAUGAAAGCGGGGGACCGUAAGGCCUCGCGCGAUCGGAGCGGCCGAUGUCAGAUUAGGUAGUUGGUGGGGGAAAGGACCACCAAGCCGACGAUCUGUAGCUGGUCUGAGAGGACGAACAGCCACGCUGGGACUGAGACACGACCCAGACUCCUACGGGAGGCAGCAGUGGGGAAUUUUGGACAAUGGGCGAAAGCCUGAUCCAGCAAUGCCGCGUGCAGGAGGAAGGCCUUCGGGUUGUAAACUGCUUUUGUACGGAGCGAAAAGGUCCUUUCUAAUACAGGGGGCUCAUGACGGUACCGUAAGAAUAAGCACCGGCUAACUACGUGCCAGCCGCCGCAGUAA